rnacentral:rRNA from 1 species
GACGAACGCUGGCGGCGUGCCUAAUACAUGCAAGUAGAACGCACAGUUUAUACCGUAGCUUGCUACACCAUAGACUGUGAGUUGCGAACGGGUGAGUAACGCGUAGGUAACCUGCCUGGUAGCGGGGGAUAACUAUUGGAAACGAUAGCUAAUACCGCAUAAUAUUGAUUAUUGCAUGAUAAUUAAUUGAAAGGUGCAAUUGCACCACUACCAGAUGGACCUGCGUUGUAUUAGCUAGUAGGUGAGGUAACGGCUCACCUAGGCGACGAUACAUAGCCGACCUGAGAGGGUGAUCGGCCACACUGGGACUGAGACACGGCCCAGACUCCUACGGGAGGCAGCAGUAGGGAAUCUUCGGCAAUGGACGAAAGUCUGACCGAGCAACGCCGCGUGAGUGAAGAAGGUUUUCGGAUCGUAAAGCUCUGUUGCAAGAGAAGAACGGGUGUGAGAGUGGAAAGUUCACACUGUGACGGUAUCUUACCAGAAAGGGACGGCUAACUACGUG